rnacentral:rRNA from 1 species
UACGUAGGGUGCAAGCGUUAAUCGGAAUUACUGGGCGUAAAGCGUGCGCAGGCGGUUAUGCAAGACAGAUGUGAAAUCCCCGGGCUCAACCUGGGAACUGCAUUUGAGACUGCAUGGCUAGAGUGCGGCAGAGGGGGAUGGAAUUCCGCGUGUAGCAGUGAAAUGCGUAGAUAUGCGGAGGAACACCGAUGGCGAAGGCAAUCCCCCGGGCCUGCACUGACGCUCAUGCACGAAAGCGUGGGGAGCAAACAGG